CAGCCACAUCUGAAGAUCUGAGUUUGUGAAGUGCAUAAAGACAUUAGAAGUCUUCCCGAAUGGAGUGAAAGACAUUUUGGAAGGGCUGCAGUUGGCCAUCUUUAUUUCCCUUCCUUAUCAUCUAGGUACUUGAGGCAUGGGUCCUGCUGUCUUGCUGGCCAUUCUGUGCUUGGGAGUGGCUGAAGUUACUCAAUCAACUGAUCCCAGUUUGGAUUCUGAUUGUCAGGAGUGGAAGAGAAAAUUUAACAAAAACUACAGCAUGGAGGAAGAAGGACAUAAGAGAGAAGUUUAGGAAGAAAAUAUGAAACUUGUCAAACAGCAUAAUAUUGAAUAUGAUCAGGGAAAGAAUAACUUCACUAUGCAGGUCAAUGGCUUUGGUGACAUGGUGAGUUUGAGACAGACUGCAUCACCUACGUUUUCCAAUAUUUUGUGUGAAAUCUUUUACUUUCUAAUGAUUCUUGUUUUUCUUGAAGACCAGAGAGGAAUUCAGGAAAAUGCUGACUGAUAUUCCAGUCCAGAAUCUUAGGAAGAAGAAAGGCAUCUGCCAGUCUAUUUUUGGUUAUCUCCCCAAAUUUGUAGAUUGGAGAAGAAGAGGCUAUGUGACUUCUGUGAAGAAUAGGUAUAAGCAUAUCACAUGACUGUCUUGUUGAGUCGCUGGUGAGAAAAAAUUAGCGUUGACAACUCUGUGUGUGUUGAGUGUAGAAUGACACAUAAUUUACUUUUUUAAAAAUUUAAUUUUAUUUCUUUUACUUAUUCACUUUGUUUUUGCUUUUGAUUUUUUGUUUUCCAAUUUAAUUAUUCUUCUUUUUUAACUUAUUCACUUUACAUUCAGUACUUUGUUCCCUUCCCAGUCACCUUCCCCCACAAUUCUUUUUUCUUCCUUCUUCCCUUCACUUCUGAGCAGGUGGAGGCCCCUUGACUAUCCCUCCUUACCAUACUUUGAGUCUCUGCAAGGCUAAAUGCUUUUUCUUCCAAUUGAAGACAGACAAGGCAGCCCAGCCAGUAGAACAUGAUCCAUAUACAUAAACAGCUUGUUCAGAUAGCCUGUUACAAUUGUUUAACCCAUACGAAGGUCAAGCAGCACAUCUGCUCUAUAUGAGUGGGGAGGCCUUGGUUCAGUCUUUGUAUUCUUUAGUUGGUGGUUCAAUCUCUGAGAGCCCAAGAGUACAGGUUAGUCGAUUCAAGUUCAUCUUCCUAUGGAGUAAAUGGGACCUCAGGAAACUGCAAAGCUUUUAAGGUAAGUGACAUUGUCAAUAGAACAAAUCGGUAGCUGAAAGAGUGGGAAAGAAUCUUUAUUAACUUUACAUCUGACAAAGGGUUAAUAUCUAAAAUGUACAAAUAACUCAAGAAGUUAGACACAAACAACACAAAUGAACCAAUUACAAAAUAAGAGACAGAACUAAUUAGAAUUCUCAACACAUGAAUCUAGAAAUGCUGAGAAGCACUUAAAUGUUCAAAGUCAUCAGGAAAAUGCAAAUCAAACAACUAUGACAUUCCCUCUUGCUUCGAUCAAAAUGGCUAAGAUCAAAAAUUUCAAGAGAUAACACAUGGUGGGGAGGUUGUGGAACAAGAGGAAUACUACUUCACCACUGAUUGGAGUGCAAACUUGUACAACCACUUUGGAAAUCAAUUUGACAUUCUCUCAGAAAACUGGGAAUAUUUUUACCUCAAGACCAAGAUGUACUACUCUUGGGCAUAUACCCAAAAUAUCCUCAAAUAUCUCAUAAAGACAAUUGUUCAACAAUAUUCAUAGGAUCUUUACUUAUAAUAGCCAUUCUUCACUUUUAAUAACUUAUGUUCCUAUUUUGAAUGUUUCAUUUGUUUGUACAAGGUAUAUGGUUCAUGUCCAUCAACCAUUAUCUACUCAUACCUAGUGGCCUCCAUAUUCCACUCACUCUCCAUAUUCUGUGUCUUAUUUAUUUUUGGUAGUAGCAACCAGACAACUUUAUGUCCUGACAAUAUGUUCAUGCUCAUACAUGUGCAUGCAUGUGUAUGUAGCAAUUCAUUGGUGUUCAAGCAAGCUGGAAGCAGCCAGGUCCCCAAGAAAAAUUAAAUGUCUUUCCUUGGCACCAACAACCUGCAAUCAGUUCAUUCUUUGACAUACUAUUCAGCUGUCUGAUUUGGGGUUGCUAGUUGUUUGUGUGUGACUGUCUUUUAUUCUCUACUGAGGGCAGAUGUAAUUCUUGUUGGGCCUUUUCUGCAGCUGGUGCCAUAGAAGGACAGAUAUUUCGGAAAACAGGCAGACUAAUCUCAUUGAGUGCACAAAACCUAGUGGACUGUUCGAGAACUGAAGGGAAUCAUGGCUGUUCUUCGGGCCAUACAUUCCGUGCUUUAAAGUACGUGUGGCGUAAUGGAGGUCUGGAGGCUGAGUCAACCUAUCCAUACAAAGGAAGGGACUGAGGAAGCCUUAAUGCAUGCUGUAGCAACUAUAGGGCCCAUCUCAGUUGGCAUUGAUCCUUCACAUGAAUCUUUCACAUUUUAUAGGGAAGGUAUUUAUUAUGAGCCAAAAUAUGGGAAUAAUAAUGUCAACCAUGCUGUUCUGUUAGUUGGCUAUGGCUAUGAAGGAAGAGAAUCAGAUGGCAGGAAAUACUGACUGAUAAAGAACAGGUAUAAGCUGCAAAAAGUAUUUGAAUGAAUUUUUUGCUUUGAGUCAUAAUGGGGAUAAGAUUCCCCAUAAAUGUUCUCCAACAUACAUUAAACAACAACAUUGUUCUUUGCGAUCAACUGUAUGUGUACCCUAUGCCUAUUUGCAUGUGUGUGUGUGUGUGUGUGUGUGUGUGUGUGUGUGUGUGCGCACAUGCACGUGUUUGCUUGUAUUUCCAAUGUUGAGAGCAGUUGUUUGCCUUAGCUGUCUCCCAUGGAGGCAGUAUAUUUCACUGAUCCUAGAGGUUACUAUCUUGUGUAGCUGUUUAGCCAGCUUCUCCAGGUGUGUUUUCACUUUACGGGGCUUUAGGCAAGUUGCAAUGAUAUCCUCACUUUUAAAAAUUAUUAUUUUUGCUAAUGUGAGGGUGUUUAUGUGAAAUUUCAUUCUACAUGUGAGCAGUUGCCCAUAGAGAUGUGAGGAGGACAUCAGAUUAUCUGAAAAUGUAGUUAGAGGAGGCUUGGGUACUGGGAAAGGAACAAGCUUUCUGUGGAAAAAACCCUGUUCUUAGGCACAGAUCCAACUCCAGUCUCCAUUCUGGCUUUAAGUGGGUUCUUGGACUUGAACUCCAGCCCCUUCUCUUUUGUGACCAUCACUUGAACAUUUGAACACUAUGACUGGGCAAACAAGUUAUAGUAUGUGAGUUGUUCAGAUUUAGCCGCUGGUUUCUUGAGUAGUAAUACAUUUGUGACAUUGAUUUUAAAAAAGAUGGCAUAUUGUUGGUUCUGUGCCAUCUGUGGGUGGAAAAAUAUCCUGAGUUUUCAUUGCUGUGAUUUGCACAGUCCUUUCUGAGAUAACAUUGGUUUCUCAGAGGUGUCUGUUUUACAUUUUCUGAUCAUUGAGGCUUCUGGAUCAGUGGUUACACGUGGAGUUAUUGUAAUGAGUGCACUUUCCUGUGUUCUUUCUAAUAAAUGGGAAACAUGGUUCCUUUCCGUCACGGUUAGCAAUGGGGUAUGAAUGGUUACAUAAAGAUUGCCAGAGGCAGGAGCAACCACUGUGGAAUUGCUACAUAUGCCGUCUACCCCAGAGUGUAAGGUGCUGAUGGUAACAGGGAAGGAUUGGAGUGGAGACAGCCUGUGAAGUGGGGGCACUUCCUUUUUACCAUGACCAGCCUCUGCUGCAUGGAUAGAGCUCAUGAUUUACUGCAUAACAUGAUGUAAUGUGAAUUCUGUUAUGUGUUUACUCCAGUAAUACAUGAUGGCUACUGUAAGUGAAGCUCUUCAUUAAUUUGUAUUUGAUUCCCUUACUAACUUGAUUUUGUUUAAUGUUUGUACAAAAUAUCUUGAAAAAAGGUUUAAGUUCAGUCGUAGUGUCUGUUUUCCUUUCAUUUUGAAAAGUAGUGGCUUUUAAAUUUUAUGAAAUUCAUUUUAUUUAAUAUAUGUCUUAAUUAAAAUAUAAUUACCUUACCCCUUUUAUUUUUCUUCCUCAAACUCCUCCCAGAUAUCCUCCCUCUAGCUCCUCAUAUAUCCUCCUCCCUCAUUUCUCUCACAUUGAUUCUUUCUUUUUCUUUGUUGAUUAUCAUUAUGUAUACAUCUGUAUACAUAUCCAUGAAUAUUUAAUAAAGCCUGCUGAAUGCUGAA
rnacentral:lncRNA from 1 species